ensembl:lncRNA
CUGAGAGGAAGGAGGAGGGUUUAACUGUCGCAUUUGAGCAGAAUGAUAUCACACCUUUGUGUGCCACGAUGGGACAAACACUUCUUCUGUGGCUGCUCCUUCUAAUGUUUCUCCUCUGCUCCACAACAAAUCAAGAGAUCCUGCAGCAGCUGCCACCUCCUCAUCAGUGAGAAGAACCUCAGCAGACGGCCGACACGGAUCGAUCAGGAGAAGAGGUUUUGGUGGCAGCAGUGUGAGCAGAGAAGUCCAGAGUCACCCUGAUCAACUCUUCUAGCUCAUCUGGGGAAACAGAGUCAUUCCCAAGCAUGCAGAGAAAAACCUAACCUAGGAGACAUCCUAUUCAGAUGCCAGAGCCACCAUAACUGUCUCCCUUUAAUGUGGAGGAGCAGUGGUCUACUCCGACUCCCUCUCGAAUGAGAGAGCUCCU